rnacentral:piRNA from 1 species
UAUUUGAUUUACACAGACAGUGUUUUAGGAC